UACCUCUCUUCUUCUUUAGCUCUUGUCUCUGUCCAUCUUUUUCUUUUCCUUUAUAUUUUAUUUGACCCCUUUUUACGCCUUCUCUUCUUUAAAUUAAACCCAUCAAAUUUCCACCUUCAAUUCAUACACAAUUUUAUCUUUAACUCAAUCACGGAGCUUAGAUCUGAAUUUCAUCCCAAUCAGGAAUGAUGUCGUUUGCUGCACGGAAUUAUGAUUCGCAAGGAGGCACUCUCUAUGAUGAUCAUUGUUCCUCGUUUAGUAGACACAGCUUUAAUACUCAUAGGACUCGGAAUAUGAGCAACAUUACACAUAAGAACAACAACAAUAGCCAUUGUAAUAACAACUAUAACUAUAAGCAUAAUUGGAAUUAUAAUCAUGACUUCCCGGGGAGAUUAAGGGACCAUUUCAACGACAAUAACAAUUAUGUUAACCCUCCUAGAGAAGCUCAUUCGAUGAAAAGGAGAAAACUUAGUGCUGGUGCUUGGGGAGAUGCCGGGAGACAUUUUUUGCAACCAGUCUCGUGUGAAAAUGCUGCUUCUGCAGCCUAUAACAAUCCAGUCCCUUUUACAAGUUCAAAUGCCGAGACGUCUACGUCCACCAGUUGCAAACGUGAUCGCUCCAAGUUGGAAGAUGAUGAUCCUGUAUUUAUGUCUAAGGAUGAGAUUGAGAGACACUCCCCAUCAAGAAAAGAUGGUAUAGAUGCACUACGUGAAACACAUUUACGGUAUUCUUAUUGUGCAUUUCUUCAGAAUCUCGGGAUGCGGCUUGAUUUGCCGCAGACCACUGUCGGCACUGCCAUGGUUUUGUGCCACCGUUUUUUUGUUCGCAGAUCACACGCCUGCCACGACAGAUUUUUAAUUGCUACUGCUGCACUUUUUCUGGCUUCAAAAUCAGAGGAGACACCUCGUCCUCUGAACAAUGUAUUGAGAGUAUCUUCUGAGAUUUUUCACAAGCAAGAUAUGACUUUCUUAUCGUACCUGCUCCCUGUUGAUUGGUUUGAACAGUACCGAGAGCGAGUAAUAGAGGCCGAGCAAAUGAUACUGACAACUCUAAAUUUCGAACUCAAUGUGCAGCAUCCAUAUGCUUCUCUUACAUCCGUCCUUAACAAAACAGGAUUUUCACAGAAUGUCUUGGUGAACCUUGCACUAAACUUGAUCAGUGAAGGGUGAGUUAUCAUUUUCAUUGUCGUAUUUUUAAUUGAAUAUUCCAUUGUUACAGGUUCUACAAUAUCAAAUCAGUUAGAUUUAACAACACAGUGAACAAGCAUAUAUUGUGGAUCCAUGAAUAUGAUCAUGCUUCUUUCUUCAGGAAGCAUGGAGUGGUGUUGCUGCUCUGAUUAUCCGUCAUGUAGAUUAAGGAGGGUGAGUGUUUGAGUCUUGGCCAAUUUGAACAUUUUUUGAGGUUUUGUGAUACUUGGGCCUUGGCGGAGGAUGUACUAGGCGGUCGUGUUCUCAUUUGGUUCAAUAAUGUGUAAUACUAGUGUCAACAAUUUUCUUCUUUCGAGCAAUUACCAUGCGGUAGUAAUUCUAGUAUGGGAUAUUGAUUGUUUUGGCAUGCCAUAAAAUUGCAGGGUCUACACAAGAAUAGCGUGCAUAUUAGCUGGCGGGUGUUGAAUGCUCUGCAUGGAAUUUUUUUUAUACUUCUGAAGUUGAACUGAUGAUAUGUUAUGGAUCAAUGACCAUGAUUAUUAUUUUAUCCCCCAUCAAACUUUGGUUAUCUUCGAUAAAGAUAGCCUCAGAACCGUUUUUGCAUCCAACUUUUUUGCCUAUACAAACUUCUAGUUAUUGGACCUGGUUACUUUUUCCUUUGGUGUUUCUUCACAUUGAUUGGACUGAACCCUGUCAACUUGGCAAGGGUCAAAGACCAUAUAGUAUCUUUCUGCCUUUCAUCAAAAGAUUGUUUUGAACCAUCAUUGAUAUUUUACCUA